rnacentral:rRNA from 1 species
ACGAUUAAAGCUCCCUUCGGGGAGUGCAUAAAGUGGCGCACGGGUGAGUAACACGUAAGUAAUCUGCCUUCGAGUGGGGAAUAACCCGGGGAAACCCGAGCUAAUACCGCAUAAUGCAGCGGCACCUAAUGGUGACAGUUGUUAAAGGAGCAAUCCGCUUGAAGAGGAGCUUGCGGCAGAUUAGCUUGUUGGUAAGGUAACGGCUUACCAAGGCUACGAUCUGUAUCCGGUCUAAGAGGACGGUCGGACACACUGACACUGAAUAACGGGUCAGACUCCUACGGGAGGCAGCAGUCGGGAAUUUUGGGCAAUGGGGGAAACCCUGACCCAGCAACGCCGCGUGAAGGAUGAAGUAUUUCGGUAUGUAAACUUCGAAAGAAUAGGAAGAAUUAAUGACGGUACUAUUUAUAAGGUCCGGCUAACUACGUGCCAGCAGCCGCGGUAAUACGUAGGGACCAAGCGUUGUUCGGAUUUACUGGGCGUAAAGGGCGCGUAGGCGGCGCGGUAAGUCACUUGUGAAAUCUCUGAGCUUAACUCAAAACGGCCAAGUGAUACUGCAGUGCUAGAGUGUGGAAGGGGCAAUCGGAAUUCUUGGUGUAGCGGUGAAAUGCGUAGAUUUCAAGAGGAACACCUGAGGUGAAGACGGGUUGCUGGGCAACACUGACGCUGAUGCGCGAAAGCCAGGGGGAGCAAACGGGAUUAGAUACCCCGGUAGUCCUGGCCCUAAACGAUGAAUACUUGGUGUCUGGAGUUUAAUGCUCCGGGUGCCGUC